rnacentral:lncRNA from 1 species
UUUAGUCUUUGCUACUUUAUUGACAAUUUGAAACAAAAAAGAAAUUGUACAUCUGCAUAUGCAUCAGACUUCUGAAGGAAACAGGUUACCACUGCUUUGUACAUUCCCAUUACUCGUUCCAUACUUGCCUCGGCUUCUUCCUUUCCGUGUUUCUCUGCCAAGGACAGUGAAAAGUGUAAUCAACAAGUUGAUGAUUAGCUAGAGGAAGUUAGUGUGUGUGAUGUAUGUGCGACUGAGUUAGUUAGUUAAGUGUGACAGCUGUCAUUAUACAACUGUCACAAGGUGCAAACCAACUCUAUAAAUGUGACUUGUAGUGCCAUAAAAAGCUAAGAGAAAAUCAAUCAAUGAAAACUACUCUUCUUCUAGAAUCUUCUACUCCUCUUCUUCAAGAUCUUAGCUCAAUACUAUAGAAAGCUAAUAUGGUAUCAAAUCCACUACUGAUCGCUAGCUGUAAUCGGUACUAGAGACUAUCGAUUUCACUUGAUCAGUGAGAAUAACAGCUACUAUUCUAUUGGUUACAGUGAACUUUAAUGGCGGUUACUCGAAACUCAGUUGCAUAUCCUUCAACUACAACUGCAGUACCUGGAAAUACACCUACUUCAACUGGUACAAUUGAAAUUGACCACAAUUAUCCUCUGUAUUGGCGUCCAAAUGACACUCCAGGUAGCUCUCUUAUUUCUAUCCAGCUUACUGGCACUGAAAAUUAUGCCCUGUGGAGUAGAUCUAUUGCGUUGAGUCCCAUAGGUAAGAACAAAAUAGGCUUUGUUGAUGGGAGAUAUCCUAAAAAUCACAUUGAUGAAUCAGUACAUGAUCAGUGGGAGAGUGUUAAUGCUGUUGUUUUGUCAUGGAUUAUGAAUUCAGUACGAAAGGAUCUGUUGAGUAGUAUUAUGUAUGCCUCUAAUGCUCAUAAUGUGUGGAUAGAUUUAAAGAAAAGGUUUGAUAUGGUGAGUGGCUGUAGAGUAUUCUACUUGCAUAGAGAAAUUAUGACCUUCUCUCGGGGAACUCUGUCAGUUGCUGAUUAUUUUUCUCGAAUGCGAACUCUUUGGGAUGAAUUUGAUGCUAUUAUGCCUUCUCCUAGAUGUAGAUACCCUGAAUCUAGAAGUUAUGCUCAACACUUUGAUUAUCAAAGAGUAUUACAGUUCCUAAUGGGUCUAAAUGAAACAUACUCUCCGUGUAGAAGCCAACUCCUAUUAAUGACCCCUGUACCAUCCAUUAGCAAAGUGUACUUCAUGAUUGUAGGUCAUGAAAGCCAUAGAUCCAUAGCUUCUAGUUCCUCUGUGGAUCAUCUUAGUGAUACACUGGAUGUAGCAGCUCUCUUUACCCAUAAACCAGGUUACAAAGGCAAAGGUGGAUAUCUAGGUCCUGGUGGUUCAGUUGGUACAAGUAUAGUUAAGACUACAGGUAUCGAUGAAGGAAGACCACUAGCUUCUACUUAUAGAGGUGCUCCACAAAAAAAACCAUCAGUGGUUUGUGAGUUUUGUGGUUAUAAUGGUCAUACUAAGGAUCAAUGUUUCAAGCUGAUUGGUUACCCAUCAGAUUAGCCCAAGUCCAAUAAGAAAGGAUCAGGACAGUAUGCACAUAUGGUAGACUCUGCAUUCCCUGUGGACACAUACCCUACUAGUAAUAAGUUGUCUCAAGCCAGUUCAUCCCCAACUACUUCAAGUCCUACUCCUCAUUUUACACCAAGAUUAUAUCAACAACUUGUCAUGCUGCUCAACAAAGGGAAGGAAAAGGAUUCCAUUUCACCUGCAUCAAAUGCAGGCAUCACGAUAGCUCCAACUAGUCCUACUUUAAGUGAUAGGUGGAUUAUUGAAUCUGGUGCUACUAAUCAUAUGGUCUCCAACCCUGAUAUGCUUCAUAGUUAUCAUAAAAUGCAUCAGUCUUUAUAAAGUCAGGUCUAUCUUCCAACAGGUAACUAGGUUUCAGUCUUUCACAAAGGCACCUCUGGUGUACUCAACAAUUCCCUCAUUACUGAUGUCUUAUAUCUGCCUGAGUUCAAAAUAUAAUCUUCUAUCUAUUUCAAAACUUACCAAGGAGUUGCAAUGUUCAGUGAAGUUUUUUCCUGACUUCUGCAUCUUCUAGGAUCUCUAUACUAGCAUGGUGAUGGGGAUUGGUAAAGAAUAUCAAGGACUUUACAUUCUCCCAAAUGCUUCCUCUAAACCUACAAGUGUAAAUAAGUGUGCCAAUAAUGUGAAGUUGUUGUCGGAUUCUAGUGUUCUUUGGCACAAAAGACUGGGUCAUGCACCUAUUGAGGUGCUUAAAAGGCAUGCUGAACUAAGUCAUUUGAAGUUUGAAGAUCACAUAUGCACUGUGUAUCCCCUUGCUAAGCUGAUUAAACUUUCUUUUCAGCAUAGUAUCUCUGUGUCUAAGGCUCCCUUUCAUCUGCUUCAUUAUGAUAUAUGGGACCUUAUAGAGUGCCUACCUAUGAUAAAAAGAGAUUCUUUGUUACAAUUUUUGAUGAUCAUUCUAGAUUAACUUGGUUGUUUCUUAUCCAGUUUAAGUCUGAAGUGAUAGUUGUACUCAAAGAUUUUCUGACUAGAAUGCAAAACUUGCUCUCUACUUCUGUAAAAAUUCUUAGAACUGAUAAUGCCUGUGAGUUCUUUAGUCAUGAAUUUAAAUCUCUUAUGUCUAAUCUUGGUAUUUGCAUCAAACUUCAUGUGUCUAUACCCCUCAACAGAAUGGGGUGGUGGAAAGAAAACACAGAACUAUUUUGGGAGUUGCAAGAUCCCUCAAAUUUCAAGCAGGUGUACAUCUCAAGUUUUAGGGUGAAUGUGUUGAGACUGUUGUGUACUUGCUGAACAGAAUUCCCUAAGAAAUACUUCACUAUAAAUCUCCCUUUGAAAUCCUCCAUCAACAGGUGCCUUCACUUUUUCAUUUAAAAGUCUUUGGCUGUUUAGGCUAUACCUCUAGUCCUUUGUUCAGAUAAGUUUGCUGCUAGAGCAAUUCUUUGUGUCUCUAUGGGCUACUCAUCCACCCAGAAAGGGUACAAACUAUAUGAUUUUCAUACCAGACUAUUCUUUACUAGUAGAAAUGUCAGCUUUCAAGAGUCCACCUUUCCUUUCCUUCACCAAGCUACCAUUGACUCUUAAUUAUUUCCUGACCUGCUGACCACUCUUGUUGAUCAUUCUGUUCCUUUUUUCUCUUUCCCCUCCAUUCCUUUAUCUACUUCUUUUCCAGUCUCUCCUGAGCUGGAGCAUGGUCGGGCCUAUACCUUCAUCCUCAGCUCCUACUCAUCCCUCUGUAUCUCAUUCUGACCCCCCCUCUUCUCAAAAAAUCCACCAGACAUAAGAAACCUCCUAGUUGGAUCCAUGACUUUGUCACUACCAAGCUUGUCUCAGCUCACCAAUGUUUGUAUCCAUUAUCUUCCUAUGUCACAUACUUUCAGUUCUCUUCAUAUUUUAAUCAAGCUCUCUCUGUCUAUUUUUCUAUUCCUGAACCCUCUACUUUUCUUGAAGCCUUCAAAGAUCCAUCUUGGGUUGAGGCUAUGAAGCUAGAGAUUGCAGCUCUUGAGGAGAAUCAUACUUGGUCUAUUGUUGACUUUCCACCUGGUAAAGCUCCUAUUGGUUAUAGGUGGGUGUACAAAGAAAAGUACAAGACAAAUGGAGAUGUAGAAAGUUAUAAAGCCAGACUAGUAGCUAAGGGCUAUAGUCAACAGGCUGGGGUUGAUUACUCAGAUACUUUCUCUCCUAUGGCAAAGAUGGUGACAGUAAGAUCCCUUAUUGCUCUUGCUGCUUCUCGACAAUAAUUGUUUUUUCAAAUGGAUGUGACAAUGCUUUUCUUAAUGGUGAUCUGUCAGAAGAGGUCUACAUGCAUAUUCCUGAUGGUUUUUGCAGACAGGGAGAGACUCAGAAAGUCUACAAAUUACACAAGUCUUUGUAUGGUCUAAAGCAGGCCCAUAGACAAUGGAAUAUGAAGCUGACCGAUGCUCUCUUACAAGUGGGGUUCAGUCAAAGUUAUUAUGACUACUCCUUGUUUACCAAAAAAUCAGAAAAUGAAAUAGUGAUUAUUCUUGUCUAUGUGGAUGAUUUAUUAAUAACAGGAAACAAUGUCCCCUUGAUUAAUCAAGCUAGAUCAGAUUUAUAACAAAAGUUUAAAGUGAAGGAUCUUGAUGAUCUGAAGUUCUUCUUGGGCAUAGAGGUAGCCAGGUCCAAGGAAGGGAUAGUGCUGAAUCAAAGAAAGUAUGCUCUUGAACUUAUAUCUGAGGCUAGACAAAGUGGAUCAAAAUGUGCUAGUACUCUACUGGAAAUGAAUCAGAAACUAACAUUUGUGGAAUAUGACAAUCAUAUGUCCAAUGGAACAGGAGAUGAUAAUGCAACGCUGAAGGAUCCAACAACAUAUCAAAGACUAGUAGGAAGGCUAUUGUAUNNNNNNNNNNNNNNNNNNNNNNNNNNNNNNNNNNNNNNNNNNUGGGGUGCUUGCUUACAAACUAGAAGAUCAGUGGCUGGGUAUGUAAUAAAGUUUAGAGGUGCUUUAGUCUCUUGGAAAUCAAAGAAACAAGAGACUGUGUCCAGGAGCUCUGCAGAAGCAGAGUUUAUCCCUCCCGAAGUCAUUUUUUUUACUCAUUUACCACUUUACCAUACACCUCCUUUUAGUUGAUAAUUUUUCCACAAAAGAACAAAAAAUAAUAAUCAGCCCUUAACAAAAUCCCUAACAAAUUUUAUCUUGUUUUAAUCAUCCUAACAACUUACCCCUACCCUACCCUUAUCCUACCACGUGGUCCCCACCUCCCUAACAAGACCACGAAUUAUACGCACAUAAGAAUACAGGAUAAACACAAAAAAUUGGAAGCAUAUAUAGAGAAUUCCAGUAAGAGGAGGGUGGGACCCACAUGUAUUAUUCCCUCAACAUAUACAACACACAACCUCCAUUAAAGGACCAUCAAUACACUCUCCAUUUUUGGAUUUCAGGGGAGAAACACUACAUACACCAAAAAUACUCUCCAUAUCCUCAU